GAUGAACGCUAGCGGUGUGCUUAAAGCAUGCAAGUCGAACGUGAUCCUUGGAUUCGUUCAAGGUGAAAGUGGCGAACGGGUGAGUAACGCGUUGGUGAUCUGCCCCGGAGUGGGGGAUAACUAUCGGAAACGAUAGCUAAUACCCCAGAUGUCCUCGUGUUUGGAAAGCGAUGACUAAAGUUCAGGCGCUCCGGGAGGAGCCUGCGUCCCAUCAGCUAGUUGGUAGGGUAAUGGCCUACCAAGGCAAAGACGGGUAGGGGGCGUGAGAGCGUGGCCCCCCACACUGGUACUGACACACGGACCAGAUGCCUACGGGUAGCAGCAGCUAGGAAUAUUGGGCAAUGGGCGAAAGCCUGACCCAGCAACACCGCGUGAAGGACGACGGCCUUC
rnacentral:rRNA from 1 species